rnacentral:rRNA from 1 species
CCGCAUCUGUGCAUGCAGCAUAUCAAUAAGCGGAGGAAAAGAAACUAACAAGGAUUCCCCUAGUAACGGCGAGUGAAGCGGGAAGAGCUCAAAUUUGAAAUCUUAAAGGGUUUCCCUUUACGAAUUGUAGUUUAAAGAAGUGUUUUCUGUUGAGGUUUUGGUAAAAGUUCUUUGGAAUAGGACAUCAUAGAGGGUGAGAAUCCCGUAUUUGACCUUUACUUUCAACUUUGUGAUACACUUUCAAAGAGUCGGAUUGUUUGGGAAUGCAGUCCAAAAUGGGUGGUAAAUUUCAUCUAAAGCUAAAUAUUGGCGAGAGACCGAUAGCGAACAAGUACCGUGAGGGAAAGAUGAAAAGAACUUUGAAAAGAGAGUUAAACAGUACGUGAAAUUGUCAAAAGGGAAGCGUUUGACACCAGUGUUGUUUUUCUGAAAAUCAAUUAAAGAACUGUUUAUGCUAAGUUGUUUAGACUUUAUCAGCUAACUGUUUAGUUUUGAGCUUUUCUUUAAUGCACUUUUCAGUUAACAAGUCAACAUCAAUUUCUUUUGCUGUAAAAAAGCUUGAGGAAGGUGGCUUGAGAUUCGUCUUAAGUGUUUAUAGCCUCUUGCCUAUGCAGUCGGAGAGAUUGAGGUCUGCAGCGUAGAUCCUUCGGGGCUAAAUGCAUUUGUGCUAAGUUAUAGCAUUUUAUAGACAACUUGUUGACUAUGAUUUGUCUUGUAGCUUACUCGCUUAUGUUAUUUUACCUACGCUUAGGAUGUUGACAGCAGUAUAGACUGUACACGCAUGACACACUGCAUAUCAAUAAGCGGAGGAAAAGGAGUAUACCUACGCUUAGGAUGUUGACACACGCGCGUGCUCGAUCUAUACAUGACUCUGUGCAUAUCAAUAAGCGGAGGAAAAGUCAAUACCUACGCUUAGGAUGUUGAGUAGCGACAUACGCAC